rnacentral:pre_miRNA from 1 species
UCUUACGGAUGAGCAAAGAAAGUGGUUUCUUGAGCUAGAAUGUACUCCUGAUGAAGAUGCUGUGAC